CGCCUUUUGACUAUAAUAAGAGGUCCAGCCUGCCCAGUGAUAAAUUUAACGGCCGCGGUACCCUAACCGUGCAAAGGUAGCAUAAUCACUUGUUCUUUAAAUAAGGACUUGUAUCAACGGCAUCACGAGGGUUUUACUGUCUCCUCUCUCCAAUCAGUGAAACUGAUCUCCCCAUGAAAAAGUGGGGAUAAACUUAUAAGACGAGAAGACCCCAUGGAGCUUUAAAACCUAUAGCAACCUAGCAAAACAUUUCCAUCUAGCUAUAAAACGAUGCUCAAGGACUUUAGGUUGGGAGGACCACGGAGCACAAGAUAACCUCCGUAAUGAAAAGAAUAAAAUCUUUACCAAAGAGCCACAACUCUAAGAAUUAGAAAACUAACGUACAUGACCCGAUAUCGAUCAAUGAACUAAGUUACCCUGGGGAUAACAGCGCAAUCCACUCUGAGAGUUCAUAUCGACGAGCGGGCUUACGACCUCGAUGUUGGAUCAGGGUAUCCUGGUGGUGCAGCCGCUACCGAAGGUUCGUUUGUUCAACGAUUAAAACCCU
rnacentral:rRNA from 1 species